AUGGUCUUUGUUGAUGGAACCCCUGCAACCCCACCAGGGAUGUACAGGAGAAGAAUACAAGCCUGUGCUGACCCAGCCGUCUCCCUGUCUGCAUCUCAGGGAACAGCCAGACUCACCUGUACACUGAGCAGUGGCUUCGGUGUUGGCGGCUACCACAUAUACUGGUUCCAGCAGAAACUGGGGAGUUCUCCCCGGCAUCUGCUGAGGUUCUACUCAGAUUCAAAUAAGCACCAGGGCUCGGGGGUCCCAAGCCACUUCUCUGGGUCCAAAGAUGCCUCGGCCAAUGCGGGGCUUCUGCUCAUCCCUGGGCCGCAGCCUGAGGACGAGGCUAUUACUGUGCUACAUAUCAUGGCAGUGGGAGCAGCUACUGUUACUCAUGGUGACUCAGAUAAGGAGGAAGUGAGACAAAAACCCCUAGGUCCACAGACCUUGUCUCCAAGCCUCUUUUAUUGA